UAAUUGAGAACAAGCAAGUGCGUGUAUGUUUGCCCUAUCCCAGGACGCUCCACGAUAGCCAACUGGCGCUCUUCAUCGUGAGUCGUUCGAUCUAGGAGCGCAGCCCGCGUCAAUCCCCGCCGUUCGUGCACUCCCAGUUCCCCUCAACGCGGGGUAAAACCCUAGCCCCGAGCCGCCGCCAGCCUCAUUCUCUUCCUCGUUUGUUCCUCUCUCCCACGACCCGCGUUGUUGUCCUCCUUCCAUUGCGAUGCCACCCCGACCUGCCUCCAUGGAACGCCCCACCUCUCCUCCUCCAUCCUUCUCCCUCGAUGAGCUCGCACUACCCCCUCGCUCUGCCUCUCCUUCGUGCUCGGUGGGCCGAACACACGUGGCCGUGGCGACCAGUGGAGGAGAACAACUAACCAACUAGAAAAGCAGCAGGACCGGCAGCGACAAAUAUUCCUUCACGGCACCGCAGCAGUCAGGAUCAGAAGGUUGUUUUACUUGAUGGAGGUGCACACCGUUCAGACUUCAGAGUAUGCAGACAACUAGACAAGACAAGCAAUGAACUUCAAUUUUAUUUUCCCACGUGGGUGCUCCAGUGACCAUGAUAAGUUGUGUUUAGCCUGCUACGUCCUGGGUACAGUGUGUACAGGAAAUUAAUCUUUAGACCGACUGAUUUCACACAAAUAAUUGAUGCAAAAAAUCUUUGGCAUAUAAUUUUUGUGUUAGGGCCCUCUACAUGUUUGUUGUUAUGCUUCAUACAGCUGAAUCUAUUUGCUUGAUGUUUUUUUGACUGCCUACACAUGCUCAUAUACAGCGCACGUCACUGGCGAGCAAAUGCAAUCGUGGCCCAUUGGUGCACUUGGGUGGUCAUUGUGGUUGGCUGCGGAGCAUCAGUGAAGUGUAAAAUUUCCAGAUAAGACAAUAGAUAAUGAGCUAUCUUCAGAAAUCUGUAGAAAAGCAAUAUCUGAGCUCGAAGAAACCAAUUGGCAUGAACGGAUAAAAUUUAAAACUAGGUGAUCAGAAGUUCAUGAAAAUUUUAAGAAAUGGGUUUGGAUGAUGUAAGCUUCCCUGUUCAUUGCCAACCCACCUGAUCCUCCAGAAAUGAUUACAGACCAGACAAGAAUUAAUCGAUGAUGAUAGGAUGACAUGACAGUUCCUGGUAAGACGACCAUGCGGAUUUGCAUGCCAAGGUCCAAGACAUGUACCUCCCAUGACUCGAUGAAGCAUCUGACUGAGAGCUUUCACAUCGAAAACUGGACAGGAGCAGCAUGCCAACAGGAAAAUUGUGAACAAAGAGAACUGCGACGGUCCCUCAGAAGAAUUGAUCGAAGCAUACGGCAAAAAGGAACCAACAGAAAAUGAAAUUGGACAGUGAUUGGGAUGAUGAGAUUGGGCUGCUACCGUAUGGCAAGGAGGACGGUUUGCUGGUACCAGAUACUACUUAAGGUAGAUUUAGAUUAAUCCACGUUCAUUAAAAAGACUCCAGCUAAGCUGUGUGUAGCUGUGUAGGGGUGUAUAUGGGUGUAUGAGUUGUAACCUAGCCACUAGAAGAAAAAUCAUGGACAGGGGAUGUAACAUGUAACGUUUGCUUUUCGUACA